UACGAGGGGGCGAGCGUUGUUCGGAAUUAUUGGGCGUAAAGAGCUCGUAGGCGGUUUGUCGCGUCUGCUGUGAAAACUGGAGGCUCAACCUCCAGCCUGCAGUGGGUACGGGCAGACUAGAGUGCGGUAGGGGAGAUUGGAAUUCCUGGUGUAGCGGUGGAAUGCGCAGAUAUCAGGAGGAACACCAACGGCGAAGGCAGCACUCUGGGCCGGUACUGACGCUGAGGAGCGAAAGCGUGGGGAGCAAACAGG
rnacentral:rRNA from 1 species